AGUGAACGCUGGCGGUAGGCCUAACACAUGCAAGUCGAACGGCAGCACAGUAAGAGCUUGCUCUUACGGGUGGCGAGUGGCGGACGGGUGAGGAAUACAUCGGAAUCUACUUUUUCGUGGGGGAUAACGUAGGGAAACUUACGCUAAUACCGCAUACGACCUACGGGUGAAAGCAGGGGAUCUUCGGACCUUGCGCGAUUGAAUGAGCCGAUGUCGGAUUAGCUAGUUGGCGGGGUAAAGGCCCACCAAGGCGACGAUCCGUAGCUGGUCUGAGAGGAUGAUCAGGCCAAAUGGAACUGAGACACGGUCCAGACUCCUAAGGGAGGGAACAGUGGGGAAUAUUGGACAAUGGGCGCAAGCCUGAUCCAGCCAUACCGCGUGGGUGAAGAAGGCCUUCGGGUUGUAAAGCCCUUUUGUUGGGAAAGAAAAGCAGCAGGUUAAUACCCCGCUGUUCUGACGGUACCCAAAGAAUAAGCACCGGCUAACUUCGUG
rnacentral:rRNA from 1 species